rnacentral:RNase_MRP_RNA from 15 species
UUCGCAGCGCACAGACAGGGAGAGAACUCCCAGGAAUUGUUGUGAGGAAAGUCCCCGUGCCUUUGGGCAGAGAGUGCCAGCAGGAGACUGCGAGAUGUCGUAAUGUUCAUUGUCAGCGACGCUUUCAUGCCGAGGUGCAGUGGCAAGAUGGCAUCCUUCACAGCAGCACAGCCAUGUCGUGAGCGUUCGAGCGAGGACGCCACAUGUCGUCACUGCUUGAUGCUGUGAUGAACUUUUGGGAGGCACGGGAAACACGGCUUCGCAGCGCACAGACAGGGAGAUAUCUCCCAAACAUGUUGUGUAUGAACGGGGCUCAUUCU